GAUGAACGCUGGCGGCGUGCCUAAUACAUGCAAGUCGAGCGAACAGACGAGGAGCUUGCUCCUCUGACGUUAGCAGCGGACGGGUAAGUAACACGUGGAUAACCUACCUAUAAGACUGGGAUAACUUCGGGAAACCGGAGCUAAUACCGGAUAAUAUAUUGAACCGCAUGGUUCAAUAGUGAAAGACGGUUUUGCUGUCACUUAUAGAUGGAUCCGCUCCGCAUUAGCGAGUUGGUAAGGUAACGGCUUACCAAGGAAACGAUGGGUAGCCGACCUGAGAGGGUGAAGGGCGACACUGGAACUGAGAGACGGUCCAGACUCCGACGGGAGGCAGAGGUAGGGACUCUUGCGCAAUGGGCGGAAGCCUGACGGAGCAACGCCGCGUGAGUGAUGAAGGUCUUCGGAUCGGAAAACUCUGUUAUUAGGGAAGAACAAAUGUGUAAGUAACUAUGCACGUCUUGACGGUACCGAAUCAGAAAGCCACGGCUAACUACGUG
rnacentral:rRNA from 1 species